rnacentral:rRNA from 1 species
AGCGAACGCUGGCGGCAGGCCUAACACAUGCAAGUCGAACGAACUCUUCGGAGUUAGUGGCGGACGGGGUAGUAACACGUGGGAACGUUCCUUUUGGUUCGGAAUAACUCAGGGAAACUUGUGCUAAUACCGAAUGUGCCCUUCGGGGGAAAGAUUUAUCGCCAUUAGAGCGGCCCGCGUCUGAUUAGCUAGUUGGUGAGGUAACGGCUCCCCAAGGCGACGAUCAGUAGCUGGGAUGAGAGGAUGACCAGCCACACUUGGACUGAGACACGGCCCAGAAUCCUACGGGAGGCAGCAGUGGGGAAUCUUGCGAAAUGGGCGAAAGCCUGACGCAGCCAUGACGCGUGAAUGAUGAAGGUCUUAGGAUUGUAAAAUUCUUUCAACGGGGACGAUAAUGACGGUACCCGGAGAAGAAGCCCCGGCUAACUUCGUG